rnacentral:tRNA from 1 species
AAUAAGGUGCCUGAUUAAAGGGAUAUCUUGAUAGGAUAUAUCAAGUAAUUACAUUACCCUUAUUA